rnacentral:rRNA from 1 species
CCUACGGGUGGCAGCAGUGGGGAAUAUUGGACAAUGGGGGCAACCCUGAUCCAGCCAUGCCGCGUGUGUGAAGAAGGCCCUCGGGUUGUAAAGCACUUUCAGUGAGGAAGAACGCCUGGUGGUUAAUACCCAUCAGGAAAGACAUCACUCACAGAAGAAGCACCGGCUAACUCCGUGCCAGCAGCCGCGGUAAUACGGAGGGUGCGAGCGUUAAUCGGAAUUACUGGGCGUAAAGCGCGCGUAGGUGGCUUGAUAAGCCGGUUGUGAAAGCCCCGGGCUCAACCUGGGAACGGCAUCCGGAACUGUCAAGCUAGGGUGCAGGAGAGGAAGGUAGAAUUCCCGGUGUAGCGGUGAAAUGCGUAGAGAUCGGGAGGAAUACCAGUGGCGAAGGCGGCCUUCUGGACUGACACUGACACUGAGGUGCGAAAGCGUGGGUAGCAAACAGGAUUAGAUACCCUGGUAGUC